UAAUAAAAAUUUCAUCAGCUUCUACUGUUAAAAACUUGCGUUGCUGACAGAAUAACAGGACAAUUACAUGUGGCGUGUCAUGUGUAUUUUACUCUGACAUACAUGGACCAAUUUUUAACAAUAGAAAUGGAUGAAAUUUUUAAUA
rfam:Gossypium arboreum cultivar AKA8401 contig_5214_3, whole genome shotgun sequence.